rnacentral:rRNA from 1 species
UACGGAGGGUGCAAGCGUUAUCCGGAUUUACUGGGCUUAAAGGGCGCGUAGGCGGGCCUGUAAGUCAGUGGUGAAAUCUUCAAGCUUAACUUGGAAACUGCCAUUGAUACUAUAGGUCUUGAAUUAUCUGGAGGUAAGCGGAAUAUGUCAUGUAGCGGUGAAAUGCUUAGAUAUCGUCAAGAACACCGAUAGCGAAGGCAGCCUGCCAAGCAAAAACUGACGCUGAGGAACGAAAGUGCGGGGAUCAAACAGG